AGCCACUGGCAAGACCACUGGGGAUCCUAAUAUUGGACUAUCGAUGCGACAUUCAACCACCAUGGCCGCUCUUGUAAGCACACUAACACGUUCUCUCAAGAUGCUUUUAAAUAAAUAAAUAUGGAAGUCACAUCAUAAUCUAUCUUUGCAAAGCCAUACAUGAACUUUUCUUUACUUUCUGUGUACAAUGAACAGAUGUCUCCUUUCUUCUCUCUGUAUAUUUUGUUCUUUUAUAUAAAAUAGGAGAUAGAAGUUACAUUGAUGAAAUGUUGAAAAGUCUCAAUCAGAUAUAUUCUGUUUAUAUUAUACAAAUAUACAUGUAGAAGGAAUAUAUGAGAAAAUGAUGACAUUUGACUAUUUUUCAUGUAGUCAAAACUCUAAGCAUAUGAUAUGAAAUUUUAAAUUCUACAUUGUUAGAGGAAAACAAUGAAUCCUAUCCCCUUUCCUUCCAAAUGGAUACUUGGAGACCCUAUCAUUCAUAUUUAGAAGAAAAGCCAAAAGAAACAGAAUAGAAAAGAAAUCAAAAUGUAUAUAAAAUAGUUCCCGUGUUUUAAAAUCAUAAUUUUUAAACAUUGGAAGUAGCAAAAAUAUAUUUAAAAUUCAAGAAGCUAAUAUGAAUUACUAGAAAAUAUAUAAUAAAUUAACUUUUUGCUCAUAGUGUUUUGUUAUUGGAUGCUUUCUUCCAAGAAUCCCCACAUAUUCAAUUUUGGUUUAUGCUAUUUGGGCUACAGAUUGGCAGGGGUGGGCAGAUUCCAUUGUGUCAGCAUAAAUGCUUUUUAUAGUAUUUCUAGACUUAAAAAGUUCCCCCAAAUAAAAGAACAGGGGAAAUUAUGGGCAGGAUCCUAGGCAAUAACUAAAGGUAUAGGUUGUCUAAUUACAUAAAAUAAAUGGAAUUAGUAAUGCCAAAAUUAAAUUGUUUGAUGAAAAGAGAGAUCUGCUUUGACUCAAUGUCAAAAUACAUAAACCGAAGGCAUUAUUUCCUUCCAACUCAACCAUGAAGCUUACUAUUUCCUUUCAAGAACACCUAGUAAAGUGUUUGUAGAAUUACACAAAAGCAGAUUUAAUGAGCACAAAAAGUGCAGACCCAGCAAUGUAAAUCAGAGCGCACCCCAGCACCUGGGAAGCACAGCUCAGCCUUCAACUCUUAGUCCUCAGCUCCAUGAAGGGCUUCCUGUUGCCCCUCUCUGACAGGAGCAUGGCUAGCAACAAAACGUGGAAAGACAGCCUACUACUGGGACAAAAUUUCAAAUCUAGAGUGUUCCAGAAAAUCAAGUAGAGAUGACUACUCUCAUAAUUGAAACCAUGAUUCAAAAGGUAGUAUUUACCUAAUGAGUACUUCAUUUGGCAGAUAGAAAUACAAAAUCUGACAGAAACAUGGCAAAUUUGACUAUUUUAAGUGAAACUAAGGGAAUACAAAGGUGUGUUCUGAACUGUCAUCACUCAAAUUAUAUCUUUGGGUCAAAACAAAAGAAGGCAAACUCUUCAAUCAUAAGUUAAAUUGAUAUGUACAUAUGUAGUUUCUGGAUCACUCUGUAGUCAAGCUCCCCAAUUCCUAUUUCUGUAAAUGGCUUAGAAUAAGAGUAGUAUAGCAAGAAUCAAUAUUUCCCAUUUUGUAGCCUGCCAUGCAGGAGACCUAGCAAGGUCUACAGUUGCUAUUUCUCUCUGGUCAGCCAUUCAUUCCACAGAGACUCAGCAAAUGCAACACCACAGAUUUACAGAUUGUAACCAAUGAAAGGAGUUCAGAUAUACGUUGUUAUAAAUAAUGUUUGAUUAAAUAAUAAAACAUUAUUUCAUUACAAUUCUAAAUAUUUGGUGUUUUGCUGUUGAGAGACAUUAGUGGUGUUUACUGUGGAAAAUCUUAGCAAAUAUUCUGUGUACUAUAAUACAAACAAUAAUAGGAUGUGUGCUCUGUGUCAGACAAUGUGCUAAACAUUAUUAUCACAUGUAUUAUCUCAUUUAAUCAUGUCUAUGAUCUCUUGGUUUGGACACUAUCAUUAGUUCCUUCUGGAGGCAUUAUGGUUUACUAGUUAUGAAAUGUGGGGCUUGGGAUCAGAAACAUCUUGAUUUAAAUUUUGGUCCUGCCAUUCCCUAGCCCUUUCAUCUUGGGAAAGCUAUCUUUUCUUUUUCAGUCUUGAUUUCCUUAUUGUGAAAUGGACUUCAAUCAUGAGAUCUAUUUCCAUAGGGUUUUCACAAGUUUUAAGUAAAAUUGUGUAUUGUAAAGUUCUUACCACAAUAUCUGAUGGAGAAUAAGUAUUCAAUGUUAGAUAUUAUAAUUAUCAUAAUUGUUGUGUUAAACAUAUUGCCCAAGAUACUGUGUGGAGGAUGUUUGUUUUCGAUGCAUACUGUAUCCUGAUUGUGUGCAGAACACAUUUGUGUGUAGUGCAUACUCUGAAAAGAAGCAUACAGGGAAAUGAUGGUCUGUUUUCAAAUUGCAAAUCUAGCUAGAACAACUUCCUACUCCAUUGUGGUUCUUUGAGAAGCCUCAGGGAAAUAGCUCUGGGUCUUUCUAGCCAAUCUCUAAUUUCCUGUGACUACUCCAGUAAGUUUCUGUUCUCCUAAAGCAAGUCUUUACUAUUCAAAAAUCUCAAAAGGCCCCCUCACCUUCAUUAAGCAUGGGGCUCCUAACUGGAGUUCAUGUCCAUUAGAGUAUAGGAAGAACAUACUAGAAUGAUACUUGUGUUUAUUUUUAUCUAGUUUUUUUAUGUUUGUGUAUGUUUUAUAAUGGCAUAAUAGUACAGUGGUACAUGUACAUAAUUUUAAAUAAAUAAAUAAAC
rnacentral:lncRNA from 1 species